rnacentral:rRNA from 1 species
AUGGAACUCGCCGGCGGCAAACGAAAGCGCGCCGCCUCCUCCGAUGCAGGCGCAGGCGCCGGCAGGGACUGGCUGAGCGACCUUCCGGACUGCCUCCUCCACGGCAUCCUCUCGCACCUCCGGUCCCGGCAGGCCGUGCAGACGUGCACCCUGUCGCGGCGGUGGCGCCAGCUCUGGCGCGCCGUCCCCUGCGUCGACAUCGACGCCGCGGACUUCCUGGUCCAAGUAGAUGGGACUCCCACGAUUGUUGUCUCCGAUCUUUCGGAUCACGAGGCCGAGGCGGCGCUGGCCAGGCUGGAGGACUUCGCCGACAGUCUGCUGUCCCAUCGCAGCCUCUCCGCCGCCUCGACGUCGGGGCCGGCGUUGGACACCCUACGCCUGCGCAUCCAUCGCCAGGACACAGGAGGACUACGUACUGCCACACCUCCGUACUUCUUCUCACAGUAUGAGUACAAGAAGAUGAACCUGCCGUCUGUCUAUCGACACUGGAAUGUCGCCGCGACAGAGCUUCUGCAGGCGGUGCUGGAUGAGUCCUCCUACAUCUUCCCCAACCUCACGAGCUUGGUCCUCCACGACUGCGACCUCGGAAACAGACUGCAAAGUCUCUGGCAUUUUCUGCACAACACUCCUGCCCUCCAGUGCCUUGCUGUCAAAAGUUGUGAGGUCAUUAGAGCUUCGCCGCUGCUGCAAUGGAGCACCGUCGGGGUCAUUGGAGCUUCGCCGGGGUGUCGUCGGUGCUGCUUUGAAGCUUUUUUGCAGCCCUCGAUGCUAGCAUGGUGCAGCCCCCGCGUGAGUAUUGGCGCUGCGAUACAGUCGCGGGCACAGGUGCCGUCCGUUGCUUUUGCUGCAUCAUCGUUGUGUUCAGACUUCAGAGGAGGCGUGGUGUGGAUUGAAGACGGGUUGUUUCACACCAUCACUGCAAAGGAGGACGCGGCGAGGAUGGGCUGGGGUCGAACAUCACCAUCGCCAGAUUGGAUGGCUGGCUGGGCGGAUGAUUUUCUAGGGAAAUCAUCCGGCUUAUUCAUAGGAGCCGCCUAA